GACAGUUCAAAUGAGAAAUAAGAUUAUAAAGACUGCCCCUCCAGCAUAUAAGCAGGUAAUAAUGACACUGCUUAUAAAUCAAACAGGAAACUCAUUGCAAUUGGUUACUGAAGCCAUUAUGCAAUUAAGAGAAUUGGCAGACUGGGCACCCAUGACCCAGGCACUCAAGAACCCUGGUGAGGGAGGCUUCCCAAGACCAGGUCCAUCAACAUUCAGACCAUCUGGGACACCAAAGGAUGGAAAUAAUGAAAACAGGGUAAGUAGAAAAGAAAUGUUCCUGGCUCUCCUCAGAGAGGGUGUAAGUAAAGAACAUAUUGAUGGAAAAGAUACCCCUACACUCUGGAGACUAUACAAGCUAAAGGGACUUCAUAAGAAAGUAGUCAAAGUAAAUAGCCUACGGACAGAUGCCCCAACACCUUGGGGAUGUCCAGAUAAAGCACCAUCCUUUCCACAGGUGCAGGAACCACCAAAGCUACCCACUUUGAUUCCUACAGCACCUCUUUUGCCAGGAGGAGGAUUGUUCGUUAGCUUGCUAGGAAAGAUUGGGGAGGAAUUGGAUAAGAACUUAAAAAAGCUUGUUGUAUUGUUGGAAAGGACAGAAGCAAGUGAGGAAAGGAAACUGAGUUCAUUGUACCCUAAUUUGCAGAAAGAGACAGCAAGUAGUGAGGUACUUAAGAUACUUGAGGAAUACACACACAGGGAAUUGCCUAACCCGGGAGACCUGGAUUUGACAGACCUAGAUUGUAGUAAUUGACUAGUGCGGCAGGCUCCAGUGAUUGAUUUUUCAGUAAAAGAUCAUAGACCCCAUGUAAAAGUUGAAAUUCACUGGGAGAAUAAAAAUGUUGAAAGGGUUACUGCUCUUGUAGACACUGGAGCCGAGGCCACUUUAAUUUAUGGAAACCCUAAGAAAUUUGUUGGAUUACCCUUUGUAAUCACAGGUCUGGGAGGUAAGAGGACAGAAGCAGUUCAGACCUGGGUAGAACUAAAAAUUGGACAGUUGCCAAAAAAGAGGUAUUCAGUUUUAAUUGUCCCCAUACCUGAAUACAUAAUUGGAAUUGAUAUCCUUAAAGGAUUGACCUUGCAUUUGGGGGAUGGCUGUUACAGUUUUAAGACUAAACCCUAUAUAUCAGCCAGACCCGUGGUGGUAGGAAAAUUAAUACCCACUGUGCAACUACCACCAGCUACUAAAGAAGUACAUAUGAAGCAGUACAGGAUCACAGGAGGACAUAGAAAAAUCCUUCCAAAAGCUAAACAAAAAGUGCUGGAGUUUCAAACUCCCAAAAGCAAGAAACAAGCUCAAAGCUUUUUAGGUCUCUUUGAUUUUUGGAGACAACACAUACCACACCUGAGUCAGUUACUCUCCCCUUUGUACAAAGUAACCAGGAAAAAACAUGAUUUUGAUUGGGGAGAAGAGCAACGGAAUUCAUUUGAGGGAGCUAAACAGGCUAUCCAACAAGCCCUUGAUCUGUGGCCCAUACGAGAUGGAGACAUAGACUUAAAUGUAUCAGUAAAUCAGCAAUAGGCUAAUUGGAGCCUUUGGCAGAAACAAGGAAGGACUAAGGUUCCCCUUGGUUUCUGGACAAGGAAGUUACCCGAGGCAGGAAAGAGGUACACACCCUUUGAGAGACAGCUCUUGGCCUGUUAUUGGGCCUUGGUGGAUACUGAACAGAUGACAGUAGGACAUAGAGUGUUCUUACGCCCAGAGAUACCUAUCAUGCAAUGGGUACUUAGUUCCCCUAAGACACAUAGGAUAGGUCAUGCACAAGAGUCCAGUAUCAUAAAAUGGAAGUGGUACAUACAGGAUAGAGCUAAAACAGGAAAUAGUGGUACGGCUGUACUACAUGAGAAAAUUACAGAUGCGCCGAUACAAGAACCUGGUUAUCUGCCAGAAGCAGACAAGCCAGGGCAAUCUCCAGUAAAGUUGGGGAAGUAUUUUGCGCAACUAACACAGGAUCAAGCAAAACAUGCUUGGUUUACUGAUGGUUCAGCAAAAUACAUUGGCAAUGAGAGACAGUGGAAAGCAGUGUCUUACAAUCCAGAAACCAAGAAAAUUCUGACUACUACAGGAACGGGAAAAAGUAGCCAGUAUGCAGAGUUAUAUGCAGUGUUUCAGGCUCUGAAACAAGAGAUGCCUGGAAGUUGUCAUAUAUACACAGAUUCCUGGUCUGUUGCCAAUGGACUGGCUACGUGGUUGCCUACAUGGCAGUCACAUCAGUUCAUGAUCCAACCAAAGGAAGUCUGGGGAAAAGAUUUGUGGGAGCAGAUAUGGGACAUGGUACACCAAAAUGAGGUAAAAGUCUUUCAUGUAGAUGCUCACUGUAAUACUGACUCAUUGGAUCGUCUGUUUAACUCUGUUGCAGACGAGAAAGCCAAGAUCUCAGAGGCGUCUGUUGAAAAUCCUAACUCGCUUUUGGGAUUGGCUAAUUGGGCCCAUCAGAAAUGUGGACACUUAGGAGAGAAAGACACUCACAGGUGGGCACAACAGCGAGGCAUUUUAGUGCCGCUCGAUUUAAUUAAAACAAUAAUUCUGCAAUGUCCAGUGUGUCAGCAUGAGCAGAAUAGACAUGUUCCAGGGAUGGUACGAGGUCAAAUAAAAAGAGGAAAAGCGCCAGGGCAAAUAUGGCAGGUGGAUUACAUAGGUCCACUUCCUAUGAGUAAAAAUUGUCAAUAUGCAUGCACGGCUGUGGAUACAUUCAGGGUAUUUAUUGGUUCACCCUUGCAAGAGGGCUACCCAAAUAAAUACUAUUAAAAUGUUGGAAACAAUGAUACAGUACUAUGGUCUUCCAUUACAGAUUCAGAGAGACAAUGAAAUUCACGUUAAAGGAAAAUUGGUACAAGACUUUUGUAAUGAAAACGAUGUUGAAUGGAUUCACAAAAAGAGACGAAAAAAAGCUGAAAGUUCAUUGGUCUGGCCGUUAUUAUGAAGCUUAUUCCACAUCUUUUGGUCGGUUCAGAUACCAACGACGAGAUCGGAGGUUGGGACCAGAGUGAUUCCGCACAGAUGAAAUGGAAAGAGAUCAAAAUAAGAUUAACCUAACUAAUGAUUGUCCAAACACGAGGGCAAGCCUGUAUGGAGAAGGCUAUUUCAGCCACAAUGAAACUGAGACAAUGAACUAUGUUAAGCUGCCAAACGAAUCAUUUGAUGUGCUAACAUUCAUCCGACUUAAUAAUGAACAGGAACAAAUUAGACAGGUAGCUUUGCAGAACAGAAUAGCCUUAGAUUACCUGCUUGCAGCAGAAGGAGGCAAGGCAUGUUGUGUGCGGAUAGAAGACGAAUCAGGGAAAAUUAAGCAUGAGCUUCAUCAUUUUGAAGAGAUACAGAAACGCCUUCGAACACCACUAACCACAGAUGACUUAGGACACUGGCUGGGUAAUGCUACAAAAGACUUUGACUGCACAUUUGGCCUGGGAUCAUGGAUAGGAGGACUUGGGUUGAAAAUAUUAAAAGGAAUUGUGUGGUGUGUUUUUUUUUAUACUUUGUAUUUAUCUAUGCUACAAAAUUACAAUUUGCUGCAUUCAAAGAGUGGCUAGAUUAAAAAGAAAUGAGAGUAUAGAGCUAGAAGAGUUUAAUUAGAAGUUUUGAUAUUCACUACAGAAAAUCAGAUCGCCCUCAUGAUUAGGACUGUUAAGCGGGAAGAGGUAUCUCCUAAGGUUUGAGCUACAGGUUUAUCCUGUUUAAAAUUGGCUUACUUAGGUGAUCCUCGACUCGGAGAGCUUUAUUGCGUGAAUUGGUUCCAGGUGUGAAUGGAACAAUAUUUGGGGGUCAGUGGGUAAAUGGGCUUGCCCCCUGCUGAUAACCUGAAUGGCAUGCGUAAAUGUGUGAGGUUUUGCUCACUGAGUGAUCAAGGGAUGGAAUGUGAUAAUAAUAUUCAAUUUUUAUUAAGCAUGAUUGAUUGAUCACUAUUGAGCAAAUUAAACUAUUAUAGAUAGCUAAAAUGGCACUUGUCUUAAACUGUGUCGCACUAAAAAAUUCAACUAAGAAAAAGAAGAUGACACAGCAUAGAAUGUUCUAUAGCAUGUCUGGCCAAUAUCCAAAGUGGCCUACGUGCUUAAAAGUGGGAUUUGGUGCCAGCAAUGUUUAGAAAUAUAAAAGUAUAGGGGCAUAGCUUUAUAGAAAGGGUCCGCAUGUGUCUGGCAUGGGCCUUGGGUGGUCAUGACUGGCCUGAUCAACCAUAAAGAUUACUUAAUGCGCAUGACAAAUACAUGCUGGGCUGCACUGAUAAGAAAACGUAUAAAAGACGGAGAAACUUGGCACUCGGUUUGGAGAACUAGCCACCUGUAAUACGGACGCGUGUUGCUGGUCUCUGCUGUUUCCCAGUAGAGAGGGUCCCUCUAAGUCUGACUGCCGGAGUUCCCCCAGUCGUGUGCAGCGGAGCGACAACCAAACCACUCUAAUGGUGAUGUAUACUUAAGCUGAUAUAUCUACAUACUAAGCUGUUUGAAGUGAAUGCAUGCGAUAACUUAAAUGAGAGAAUAAAGUGUGGUGUGAAUUCUAAUAUUCAA